rnacentral:rRNA from 2 species
UACAGAGGGUGCAAACGUUGUUCGGAAUUACUGGGCAUAAAGCGCGCGUAGGCGGCUUCGUAAGUGUGGUGUGAAAUCCCACGGCUCACCCGUGGAACUGCGCCGCAUACUGCGAAGCUAGAGCAUGGUAGAGGAGGGCGGAACUCCUGGUGGAGCGGUGAAAUGCGUAGAUAUCAGGAGGAACACCGGUGGCGAAGGCGGCCCUCUGGUCCAUUGCUGACGCUGAGGCGCGAAAGCCAGGGUAGCAAACGGG